AAUAGAUACCCUGGUAGUCCCAGCCUUAAACGAUGCAUACUAGAUGUAGGGAGGCUCAACCCUUUCUGUAUCGGAGUUAACGCAUUAAGUAUGCCGCCUGGGGAGUACGCUCGCAAGGGUGAAACCCAAAAGAAUUGACGGGGGCCCGCACAAGCAGUGGAGCAUGUGGUUUAAUUCGAUGCUACGCGAAGAACCUUACCUGGGCUCGAAGUGUAGAGGAAUGUUUUAGAGAUAGAGCAGCUCGAAAGGGUCUCUAUAUAGGUGCUGCAUGGCUGUCGUCAGCUCGUGCCGUGAGGUGUUUGGUUAAGUCCAGCAACGAGCGCAACCCUUAUCGUUAGUUGCCAGCGCGUGAAGGCGGGAACUCUAACGAGACUGCCUAGGUUAACUAGGAGGAAGGUGAGGAUGAUGUCAAGUCCGCAUGGCCUUUAUGUCCAGGGCAACACACGUGCUACAAUGGUCGGUACAGAAGGCAGCGAAGCCGCGAGGUGGAGCAAAUCCUAAAAAGCCGAUCUCAGUUCGGU
rnacentral:rRNA from 1 species